AUGCUGAACGGGGGGAGGGAGGGCCUGUUUCAGCUGGGACAGCAGCUCCAGCAGCAGGGGGAGUACCAGGCCGCCCUACACUGCUUCCUCAGCUCUCUGCUGGGGUUGAGGCACGUGCAGAGCUUCACCUCGCUGCCCAACUGCCUGCAUCAGAUUGCUGAACUUUUCAUCUCCGAAAAUAAUUACGGCAAGGCCCUGCAGUUCAUUCAGGCUGAGAAGCUGUUCUAUGAGGUUGCUCUGAUCGAGCUCACUGCUGUUCAGGGGAGCACAGGCCCCCAGGAGGAGGCUUUGCUGGGCUCGGCGGGGACAGGAUGGGCGUCCUCAGAGGAGCUAUCGGAUCAGGCCUCCCAGGCACAGCACCUGGAGCAGCUAGCCCAGCUCUGCAUCGUCAGUAAAAGACCUCAUCUUGCUUUAGAGUACAGUGGGAAAGCCACUAAAAUCCAUCAGAGGGCCUUUGGCAACGACCACCCCAUCACAGACAGGAGUCUGGAGCUGCUGGCCACCGUCUACGCAGAGAUCGGCAAGACAGAAUACUCAGACUCCCUGGGCCAGUGUGUGUCAGUGCUGUCCAAGAGGUUUGCUGCUGCCGAGUCCUUCGGAGACAAACUCAACAACGGUCUUCCCCAUUCCCACUCCCAUCGGGAGAAACACUCCGAGGUCUGGCACAGGAAAGACCCCAGUCCACAGGAUGACACACCAAAACCGAAGGUCACCAACGGUAAAAUCCCUACGUCCAUACUGAAGAGGUCUGGCUCAGGAUCAGACUCGGAGCCCAGCCACAGACGGAAAGGCAAGCGACAGGUCCGCUUCCGGGAGCCUGAGACCACUGUGCAUGACGUUCCAUACUAUGACUGUUUAGUUGCCUAUGACACGUCACCGCCACGCCCCCACCUGGCCCUGUUCACCUGCUUGUUCCUGCUGAUGUCACUGCUGGGCGUGGUCAUGUACAGCACGGACCGCCGGCGCCCACAGCGUGUGUGUGAGGAGCUGGAGGCCUCACUGGCUGUCUACCUGAUACACAUGAAACAGCUGCUGUGGGGCUGCUGGAUCUGGCUAACCAUGCAGUGA
rnacentral:lncRNA from 1 species